CCCUGCAGGGACACCAUCCCCGGCCCGGCCCCGCCCCCCGCAGGCCCCAUGGCCGCCUUCCCGGGGGAGGACGAGGACGAGGAGGAGGAGGAGAAGAAAGAGAAAGAGAAAGAGGAGGAGAAGGGGGGACAGAGCGGCAGAGAGAGGUGUAAGAGACUGCAUCGGAUGGUCUGGACUGGAGGCGUGGAAAUCCAUUUUCUUGCUGCGUAUCCAGACCCCGAUCCCAGCGGACCAGGCGCAGCCACCAGCUCCACGAGGGCCUAGCUGACAUGCGGAGAACAGACUUCACAAUCUAUGAGAUUGUAAAGUAGUACUCCUAAGCUGCAGAACCAGCCUCAAAGGCACUAUGGAAUGACUUCUCCAAUGAGCUUGGCUUCUCCUAAGGAUACAGAUUGCAUUCAUACUCAGAAGCUGGUUGAAGUGAUGAAAGCAUGUGGGGUAUUUGAAGAUGAGGAAGAACUGAAUCACAGGCUGGUGUGAUGGUCUGACAAAUUAUAGUCAAUGUCUCAAACAUUCAUUAAAGAACUUUAGUGGAGAAAACGGCCUCUGUAAAAAUGCUGGAGUUUUGUGAACAGGACAAUGUGGCCAGAGGAGAGGGCCCCACGGAGGGUGGGACCACUCUUCUCCAAAGCCACAACUCCUUAUCUUAAGUGACCAGGAGAAGGAGCACAGCACAUGCACCUGGAGGAGGAGGCCCCACGGAGGAUGGGACUGUGCUUCUAUCUUAAGCGGUCAUGCCAGCAGGGAAAAAGAGGCAACUCCACAAUGAACCCCCCCCCCCCAAAGCUCACCGACCGAUUCCAGAGAACCCCGGGAACGGGAACUGUGCAUGUCAAGACUGUCAGCUAACACACUAUAAAAGAAGGGAGAACGAGUUCUCAUUGUGCGGCCUCUGGAACUGGAUCUCUACGCUGGCCAGACCAACGCUGGACCCGGGAC